rnacentral:rRNA from 1 species
CCUACGGGUGGCAGCAGUGGGGAAUAUUGCACAAUGGGGGAAACCCUGAUGCAGCAACGCCGCGUGAGUGAAGAAGUAUUUCGGUAUGUAAAGCUCUAUCAGCAGGGAAGAAGAAAGACGGUACCCACAGAGGAAGCACCGGCUAACUCCGUGCCAGCAGCCGCGGGAAUACGGGGGGGGCAAGUGUUGUCCGGAAUCAUGGGGCGGAAAGAGUUCGUAGGCGGCACGUAAAGUCUGGUGUUAAAGGCAGAGGCUCAACUUCUGUACGGCACUAGAAACUUGCGAGCUAGAAUGCGGUAGAGGUAAAGAGAAUUCCUGGUGUAGCGGUGAAAUGCUUAGAUAUCAGGAGGAACAUCGGUGGCGUAAGCGCUUUACUGGGCCGUAAUUGACGCUGAGGAACGAAAGCCAGGGUAGCAAAUGGGAUUAGAUACCCCUGUAGUC